UGGGGAAUCUUGGACAAUGGGGGCAACCCUGAUCCAGCCAUGCCGCGUGAGUGAUGAAGGCCUUAGGGUCGUAAAGCUCUUUCGCCUGUGAAGAUAAUGACGGUAGCAGGUAAAGAAACCCCGGCUAACUCCGUGCCAGCAGCCGCGGUAAUACGGAGGGGGUUAGCGUUGUUCGGAAUUACUGGGCGUAAAGCGCACGUAGGCGGACCAGAAAGUUGGGGGAUGAAAUCCCGGGGGCUCAACCCCGGAACUGCCUCCAAAACUAUUGGUCUAGAGUUCGAGAGAGGUGAGUGGAAUUCCAAGUGUAGAGGUGAAAUUCGUAGAUAUUUGGAGGAACACCAGUGGCGAAGGCGGCUCACUGGCUCGAUACUGACGCUGAGGUGCGAAAGUGUGGGGAGCAAACAGGAUUAG
rnacentral:rRNA from 1 species